GAGCUAACCGUAGCGAAAAGGUUUGAAUGCCCCUUAAUAAUGAUGGAAGGGAUCCCAGUGGCCUUACAACAUACAAAUGUUUAAGGUAUUGACACCUACAUAGUGGCAUCUAACCAUAUUAUUUG